GAUGUUGCCAUGGCAACAUGUAGCUUCAUCCUGGAGCUUAAGGCCUGUCUGCUCUGGGGCAUUCAGACUGCACUAAGAGGGCCUUACAAACACAGAGAUCUGCAAUCGGACGAACUUGAAAAUGUUACAGCAACUUGCAAACCACGUGACUCUCAUGUUGGGAGUCUUUAUGGUGGUGCUAGUGUCAGUUGCCAGUGGUUUCCAUAGAGAUCAACCAGACAUGGAUGUGAGAAGAAUGGUUGCCAGAGGUUUGGACCUCAACACAACUGGGAAGCUGACUUCGUGUUCACCUUGAACAAUAAGUAAAAUGCUGUUUAACAUAUUUCAUGCUGAAGUGGUUUUGCUUCAGUAGGCUCAGCUGUAAUAAGUUUUCCCACAACAGACUGGCUCGCCAUAAGUUCAGCUGGAGGAGGUCGGCCUGCAGCAGAUUCUGCUGCAGGAAGCUUGGCUUCAACAGCCAGGCCUGCAGCAGGCAAGGCUGGCAGAGACUGUGUUGCAGCAGGCUCACCUGAAGUAGACUCAAGGAUCAUGGAUAUAUUGAGAAGAAGAGACAGAAAGAACGUAAGAGCCAGAAGUGAUGGAGGACUCCAUGGAAACAGCAUCUUCCAGACACAAGCCUGGUCCAUAAAUUGACUCACAGAAACUGUGGCAGCAUGCAUGAGACCUGCAAAGAAGAGGAAGUGGACACCAAGUCCCACCCCUAGCCAAGAGGAUAUCUGCAGUUGAUACUUGCUGGGAGAGGGAAUGAUUGAUUUUCUCUAAUGAAGUGACACACUCACUGUGACCAAGCCUCAUGCCCAGGAGGACUUUAUCAACCCAAAACAGACUCUCUGUUUUUCUGUGUGUGCUUUUCUUCUGUUAUUGUUUAGUGUUUUUUGUCUUCCUGAUUUUGUCUUGUCUUAUUUUUCUGUUUUUUUGGUUUUUUGAGGUUUUUGAGAGAGAAAGAAUAUGAAGUUGGGUGGAUAUGGAGGUGGGGAGAAUUUUCGAAGACUUGGGGUGAGGAGGGAGAAGAUGCAUGAUCAAAAUUCAUUGUAUGGAAAAAAUUUUUAAAAGGAACAUUAUAUAAACAAAUAAAAUGUAAAGACCAACAUGAUAUACAGGGCUGAGGAGAUGGCUCAAUCAGCAAAGUUUCUGCUGUGCAAGCCUGUUGCCCUACAUUUUAUCCCCAGCACCCAUAUAAAAGCCAGAGAUAUUGAGGGAAGAGUGGCAAAUAUGAUUAAAAUCUGUGGAGAGCCGUGAGCAAUCGCCAUCAUGAGCCUCCGCUGUGCCUAACUGGUAAACUAGUAAUGUGCACAGGUGCAAGAGUAAAUUCGUGCCAAGUCACUGCCCAUCCCGGGACAUAGUAGUGGGGUGAUGAGUGAGCAGCUAAUCGGUAGCUGACACGUCACACGGAGGGAUAUAUAGGUGGCACCAUU
rnacentral:lncRNA from 1 species